ACACACACAACGAGCUGCCUCCCCGACGGAAGUUUGUGGUUGCCUAGCAACGUCGUUGGUUGGUUUAUCAGUUCUCCGCUGGUCCAAUGCAGAGCGCUAUGGAAGGAAGGUACAGCCAAGUUGACGAAGACCCUGAGCCACAGGAAGGAGUGGCAUCAGAGGACAGGGCAGCGACUGACCCACCAGAGUGUGACUCACAGGAUCAGACAGGAUCAGAGCCUGAA